AUUCGCUGCUAUGAAUGAAGCUUAAGAAAAGCUGUCUUUGGAUUGCUACUAAUAGUCAUCUUCAUCAUUCCUGCGCCCUCUCUCUCAGUUCCCUUAUGAAAUAAGGGCACACGGGUAAUAAACAAAGCACUAUAAAAGAUCAGAUGGAGGUGUUCUGUGGGCUCACUCCAUGUCGGGAGCAAGCAUUCUGCACACCACCGCGGGUGCUUUCUGCUCCCAAAGGUGGUUCAAGAGUGAGGACUAGUGGCCGAGUUAAGCUAGACCCCUUUCUCCCUUGAUACAACCUCGCUGAAUUUGUCAGGGCCGUGUCCUUGGUCAGCUAAACCACACCUGACGACCGAGGGACAGGAAAAGAUGGCAGAGUAGAGACCCUUGGAUUUGCUCUUUUGGAUUUUGGAUUUUGACCUGGCUUUAUCAAUCCUCAAGCCAGAUCCAGGAAAAGGUGGUGGUACCCUUGGAAAUCUCCAGGAGCAGCUUCAACAGUCAACUACACCAGUAGUGCUCACAGCUGGAAAAUUCAUGCCAGUGGAAGAAUCUGUAGUGUCGCACAAACUCGCUGUGAAGCUGAGGAAUGUGCCUAAUGCCUGGAGCUGAACAAAAUGGCGGCCGUUUUUCUUUCCAGGAAAGGAGACUUCACAGCAGAUGGGGAGAGGAAGAUUGGUGCUGAGCUAACAUCCGUUUCCAAUAUGCCUCUUUUUGCUUGAGGAAGAUUGCCACUGAGCUAAAACCUGUGCCAAUCUUCCUCUAUUUUGUAUGUAGGAUGCCGCCACAGUGUGGCUUGAUGAGCAGUGUGUAGGUCCGUACCCAGGAUCUGAACCUGCGAACCCUGGGCCGUCGAAGAGGAGGGUGUGAGCCCAAUCACUAUGUCACCUGGCCGGCCUUAUCUUUUUCUUUUUUUUAAUCUCCCUUGGGGUAGAUAUAGGUCUCAUCCAAAUAUCCAAACAGAUUCAUUCCUCAUUGCAAUCCUUUCCAAGGCAUUGGGAACUGUAUUCCUUCCACAUGUUCAUUUUGUGGUCAUCAGCGUUUCCUGUCCACGGGCUUUCUGUGAAUUCUCUUUGGACUUAGCUUGGCCUGUGUUUGUAGGAGUGACUGGAAGACAGCCUUGCUUUUGAUAAAAGAGUAUCAUUUCAUCAGGUCCCACACAUACACAGAGUCCGAC
rnacentral:lncRNA from 1 species